GGAUUAAUGGCAGAAUGGUUAACGCGUGAUAUUUGAGCUAUCAUACUUUAUAGUGAUGUAGGUUCGAAUCCUACUUAAUCCG
rfam:Pichia angusta strain DL-1 mitochondrion, complete genome.